rnacentral:tRNA from 1 species
AGAGAAUUGACUGAGUGGUUUAAAGUGGUAAGUUUGAGUUUUAUUUAAUUUUUUAAUUACAUCCGUUCGAAUCGGAUAUUCUCUG